rnacentral:rRNA from 1 species
GAGUUUGAUCCUGGCUCAGGAUGAACGCUGGCGGCGUGCCUAACACAUGCAAGUCGAACGAAGCACCUUUUAAGAUUCUUCGGAUGAUUGAUUGGUGACUGAGUGGCGGACGGGUGAGUAACGCGUGGGUAACCUGCCCUGUACAGGGGGAUAACAGUUGGAAAUGACUGCUAAUACCGCAUAAGCCCACGGUGCCGCAUGGCACAGAGGGAAAAGGAGCAAUCCGCUUUGAGAUGGCCUCGCGUCCGAUUAGCUAGUUGGUGAGGUAACGGCCCACCAAGGCAACGAUCGGUAGCCGGACUGAGAGGAUGAACGGCCACACUGGAACUGAGACACGGUCCAGACUCCUACGGGAGGCAGCAGUGGGGAAUAUUGGGCAAUGGGCGAAAGCCUGACCCAGCAACGCCGCGUGAAGGAAGAAGGUCUUCGGAUUGUAAACUUCUUUUAUCAGGGACGAAGUAAGUGACGGUACCUGAUGAAUAAGCCACGGCUAACUACGUGCCAGCCGCCGCGGUAAUAC